rnacentral:rRNA from 1 species
CCUACGAGAGGCAGCAGUGAGGAAUAUUGGUCAAUGGCCGCAAGGCUGAACCAGCCAAGCCGCGUGAAGGAUGACGGUGCCAUGCAUUGUAAACUUCUUUUGUCAAGGGACAAAAUCAGGCCCGUGUGCUUGACCGAGGGUACUUGAAGACAAAGCAUCGGCUAACUCCGUGCCAGCAGCCGCGGGAAUACGGAGGAUGCGAGCGUUAUCCGGGUUUAUUGGGGUUAAAGGGUUCGUAUGCUGUGAGGUAAGUCAGUGGUGAAAUGCCCCCGCUCAACGGGGUGAAGUGCCAUUGAUACUGCCUUGCUGGAAUGCGGAAGCCGUGGGAGGAAUGUGUGGUGUAGCGGUGAAAUGCAUAGAUAUCACACAGAACACCGAUUGCGAAGGCAUCUCACGAAUCCGCGAUUGACGCUGAUGCACGAAAGCGUGGGUAUCAAACAGGAUUAGAUACCCCAGUAGUC